rnacentral:rRNA from 1 species
AGCCGCGGUAAUACGUAGGGGGCGAGCGUUGUCCGGAAUUAUUGGGCGUAAAGCGCGCGUAGGCGGUUAUUUAAGUCAGACGUGAAACACCCGAGCUCAACUUGGGUCUUGCGUUUGAAACUGGAUAGCUUGAGGACAGGAGAGGAUAGUGGAAUUCCUAGUGUAGCGGUGAAAUGCGUAGAUAUUAGGAGGAACACCAGUGGCGAAGGCGACUAUCUGGCCUGUACCUGACGCUGAGGUGCGAAAGCUGGGGGAGCGAACGGGAUUAGAUACCCCGGUAGUCCCAGCCGUAAACGAUGGGCACUAGGUGUAGGAGGUAUCGACCCCUUCUGUGCCGUAGCAAACGCAUUAAGUGCCCCGCCUGGGGAGUACGGUCGCAAGACUAAAACUCAAAGGAAUUGACGGGGGCCCGCACAAGCGGUGGAGCAUGUGGUUUAAUUCGACGCAACGCGAAGAACCUUACCAGGACUUGACAUCCCUCGCAAUCUAUGGAAACAUAGAGUUCCCUUCGGGGACGAGGAGACAGGUGGUGCAUGGCC